AAGAACGGGAGUGACAGAUGAGACGAGGCUGUGAUUUGAAGGGAUUUAUUGCCACAACUUCAGUUUAAGGGGGAAAAGAAAAAGUAAAUCAGUCAGAAUUCAUUAUUUCUACAACUGGAUUUGGAUCUGGAUCUGGAAGAGGAGAACUUUCUAGAGUUGUCCAAAAAUGUGUACGGAAGCCAGUGUUUACUGUACCAAUGUGUCUGCGUGUGAG